UACAUACAUUGUUUUCUACAUUUCAGUGUCGGCCGUGAGAACUAUGGCAUGCGCGAGAAUUCCGAAAUGGUCGUUUCUGAUGUGUGUCUAAAAGGUGAAAAGAAACGCCAUCAUCACCACCAUCACAAGAGCAGCACACGCAAUGGCGAAUAUCGAGAUCAAUCAGCUGGCAGACGAGAACAUCACAGACACAGCGGCGGACAUUAUUGACCAACCAUGGUGAUAACCAUAAAUGUGGAGCAAUAAGCCAAUGCAAGCAUAUGUUAACAUACUUAUAUAUCUAGCUACAAAGAAGCGAAGCAGAAAACAACAAAAAAAAAAACUACAUCUUUUCUUAAACAGAAGGAACAACGAACAGCGUUAUUUUGAUUAUAAGUUAUUGCGAGUAAAUUUAUUGUUAAUAUACCGUUUUGUUGUGUGCAAUUUAAACUAAGUAAUUUUAGU